ACAUGAGAGUUUGAUCCUGGCUCAGGAUGAACGCUGGCGGCGUGCUUAACACAUGCAAGUCGAACGGGGGCCAUCAGGCGGAAGUCUUCGGACGGAAGCUUUUUGACCCGAGUGGCGGACGGGUGAGUAACACGUGAGUAACCUGCCUUAUG
rnacentral:rRNA from 1 species